CAGCGUUGGGCGUUCAAGCAAAACAAGCCUGCAGUUUAGGACAAACUGACAUUGUUCUUCAACGUUGACUUCUGAAAGUUAGAUCAAGGAUUGCCGACCCAAAUCAACACGAACUUCAGGGGGAAUUCGAGCAAUUUUCAUGGAGAGAGGAUUGACUGUGGACAGCAUGUUGGACACUCGGAUGUGUCGAACUUCAUCAGGACGCAUGACAUCCAAGGGGAGGAUAGACGGAUACUUCAGGGCUGCUACGAUCUUUUUGAAUCGAAACCAGAUUUCGUUUGGCAAAAUUGCUCCAUCGAAGUCAUGUGCUCGUCAGUUGAGGUAAAGUUCGUGUCUGGCGAUGAAAGCAAUCGAUACCUCUUACGUUUUAGAGAAGGUGAAAUUUGGACGGCGGUUUUGAGAGAAGAAAUAAGCACACAAUUCUUCAAUGUGUAUGAGUGGUUAUUUAAUCUCGUGAAGGGAGUUGGAGAAGCAGUUGCUGGAGCUAUCCAGCAAAAUCCUAAUAUUCUACUCCCUUGACAUAUGAAAAUUAUGAAGUGUUUUAUAGUGGUGCAGAUACACACAUUAAAGAAAGAGACCAGAAUAUAUCUUGCUUUGUCACAAACGGGAUCCCUGCUGCUGUUGUUAUGACUCGGAGUGUCUAUUUUCAUAUCCUCAGCUAAGAAGUGUUUAUUAUCUACAUGGGUACUUUCGGUCAUAUUGGUUAACGUAAUCCUGUUCUGAGGUGUAUAUCUAUACAGAACACUUUGGUUUUCAAAAAGUGAUCACAUACAUUGUAAUACAUGUAGCUAUGUUUUAAUAAACUUGAUUAUCUAUCUUUAAAAAA